rnacentral:lncRNA from 1 species
AACCAGUUCCUCCGCAGGCCACUUUCUCUCUUCUCCCACUUCCAUCGGCCACCUCACCGUCGUUCUCCGUCGAUAUUCGGCGACUCUGCCUCCUCAUCAUGUCGCUUAGUUCCAUCUCCGGCAAGAACUUGGGGGAUCCGACCAGCGACUACAAGAUGCAGGCCAUCUCUGUAAUCUGUAUUUUUCAUUUUCGUGGGUUUUGAUCCUCUCAUCUUCUCCGCCAUUUCUACUCCAAUAUUACCUUUGUUUCCAUUACCAAUAACCCAAAUAGCUUAGUCUCAACAUGAUCUUGGAGUUGUCUCAACGUUU